rnacentral:rRNA from 1 species
AGAGUUUGAUCCUGGCUCAGGAUGAACGCUGGCGGCGUGCCUAAUACAUGCAAGUCGAGCGAACGGACGAGAAGCUUGCUUUUCUGAUGUUAGCGGCGGACGGGUGAGUAACACGUGGAUAACCUACCUAUAAGACUGGGAUAACUUCGGGAAACCGGAGCUAAUACCGGAUAAUAUUUUGAACCGCAUGGUUAAAAAGUGAAAGACGGUCUUGCUGUCACUUAUAGAUGGAUCCGCGCUGCAUUAGCUAGUUGGUAAGGUAACGGCUUACCAAGGCAACGAUGCAUAGCCGACCUGAGAGGGUGAUCGGCCACACUGGAACUGAGACACGGUCCAGACUCCUACGGGAGGCAGCAGUAGGGAAUCUUCCGCAAUGGGCGAAAGCCUGACGGAGCAACGCCGCGUGAGUGAUGAAGGUCUUCGGAUCGUAAAACUCUGUUAUUAGGGAAGAACAUAUGUGUAAGUAACUGUGCACAUCUUGACGGUACCUAAUCAGAAAGCCACGGCUAACUACGUGCCAGCAGCCGCGGUAAUACGUAGGUGGCAAGCGUUAUCCGGAAUUAUUGGGCGUAAAGCGCGCGUAGGCGGUUUUUUAAGUCUGAUGUGAAAGCCCACGGCUCAACCGUGGAGGGUCAUUGGAAACUGGAAAACUUGAGUGCAGAAGAGGAAAGUGGAAUUCCAUGUGUAGCGGUGAAAUGCGCAGAGAUGUGGAGGAACACCAGUGGCGAAGGCGACUUUCUGGUCUGUAACUGACGCUGAUGUGCGAAAGCGUGGGGAUCAAACAGGAUUAGAUACCCUGGUAGUCCACGCCGUAAACGAUGAGUGCUAAGUGUUAGGGGGUUUCCGCCCCUUAGUGCUGCAGCUAACGCAUUAAGCACUCCGCCUGGGGAGUACGACCGCAAGGUUGAAACUCAAAGGAAUUGACGGGGACCCGCACAAGCGGUGGAGCAUGUGGUUUAAUUCGAAGCAACGCGAAGAACCUUACCAAAUCUUGACAUCCUUUGACAACUCUAGAGAUAGAGCCUUCCCCUUCGGGGGACAAAGUGACAGGUGGUGCAUGGUUGUCGUCAGCUCGUGUCGUGAGAUGUUGGGUUAAGUCCCGCAACGAGCGCAACCCUUAAGCUUAGUUGCCAUCAUUAAGUUGGGCACUCUAAGUUGACUGCCGGUGACAAACCGGAGGAAGGUGGGGAUGACGUCAAAUCAUCAUGCCCCUUAUGAUUUGGGCUACACACGUGCUACAAUGGACAAUACAAAGGGCAGCGAAACCGCGAGGUCAAGCAAAUCCCAUAAAGUUGUUCUCAGUUCGGAUUGUAGUCUGCAACUCGACUACAUGAAGCUGGAAUCGCUAGUAAUCGUAGAUCAGCAUGCUACGGUGAAUACGUUCCCGGGUCUUGUACACACCGCCCGUCACACCACGAGAGUUUGUAACACCCGAAGCCGGUGGAGUAACCUUUUAGGAGCUAGCCGUCGAAGGUGGGACAAAUGAUUGGGGUGAAGUCGUAACAAGGUAGCCGUAUCGGAAGGUGCGGCUGGAUCACCU